rnacentral:rRNA from 1 species
UAAGGAGGGUGCAAACGUUGCUCGGAAUUAUUGGGCGUAAAGCGCGUGUAGGCGGUUAUCUAAGUCAAGUGUGAAAUCCCUGGGCUUAACCCAGGAAUUGCGCUUGAUACUGGACAACUAGAGUACAGGAGAGGAUAGCGGAAUUCCCGGUGUAGAGGUGAAAUUCGUAGAUAUCGGGAGGAACACCAGUGGCGAAGGCGGCUAUCUGGACUGAUACUGACGCUGAGACGCGAAAGCGUGGGGAGCAAACAGG